ensembl:snRNA U6 U6 spliceosomal RNA
GUGCUCACUUUGGCAGCACAUAUACCAAAAUUGGAAUGAUACAGAGAAGAUUAGCAUGGCCCCUGUGCAAGGAUGACAUGCAAGUUUGCUAGGAAUUUACCCAAGGGAU